rnacentral:lncRNA from 1 species
UAAUGAGCCAAGAGCACAUCUUUUAGAGUUAAGAGCGUGGACCACUUCCACACUCGAAGUGUGAGGGGACAUACUAUGAGCUAGAGAGAGGCAAAUAAAUAGAAGUUUACAUGCCACACAGUCAUUUAGGCUUGUAACACACACAUAGAGCAGCAAACUCUCAGGCUCCUCUGCAGAAACGCUGCAGCCUGUCUGCCGGCAUGAAGCAGAAUUUCCUAAUCCCAUUAGCUGGGCCCUGGUACCUAUCGGUGUGUUAUUAACUAACCUUAAUUUAAGAAGCUGUAAAUUUUGAGAAGAUUAUACACCUAACACUCCUGAGACUGACUCGAGUGCAUUACACUGGCCUCUGACAAGAAUGUGUCCAUUCUGAGCAUUUGUAUUUGGCUCUAUUCUGAUAAAAACUCAAAAUGUAGCUCCUUAUAAAAUGAACCUGAUAAGUGAGACUCUAGAUCAGCGUGGUCCCAUAGGAAUAGAAUGCAGGUCGCCGAACUACGUGUGUAAUAUUACCUUUUCCAACGACUAUUAAACUAAAUAAAAAUAAACAGAUGAAGUCAGUUUUAAAGACAUAUUUAUCUAACCUAUGAUAUUAUCGUAUCAAUAGGUAACCAGUAUACAUUUAUUAAUGGAGUAUUUUACAUUUUUCCAUAGUGCCGUCUGGUAUUUUGCAACAAUAGCACAUCUCAGCUCAAACCAGCCCCCCCUCAAGUGCUCAGUAGCUCACGUGGCCAGUGCAGGGGUAGACGGGCCAGGUAAUGAGAAGCCUCUUAGGAAAGUCUUCCCAAGAUUCUGCUUGGCCAAGAGAAGCUCACGCGGAGGUGGAGGCCAAGGUGUGUGCGGCAGCCGUCUGGACAUCUGUGCGAUCGACGCCGACGUUGGAAGAGUCAUAGAGCGUGACUGACGACAUCCGGAAGGGGGGAAAAAUGUAGUUAUUGAACCCAAUCAACUGUUUGUGUCUCUGAAAUUAUCAACAACAUCCAGUCGAGGAAGGUUCUGGUCGGUCCCACAGACGUAUGGCUGUCCAAGGAGCCACAUAAAGGUACGAUUCUCUGCCAUACUUUUGGCUUUACAAGCAGACAAAUGUUUUAUGUAUCCACUUUGAAAUAUCUCCCUUUGAAAACCAUAAAGAUAGGCCUGUAAAUACAGGGUGUUUUUAAUGUUCUUUAAUUUUAAUAAACAAGCUCAAUAUAAAGUCAGAAUUUAUAGUCCAUUGCUAAAGAUAGACUCAAAUAGUCUUCUGUUAUUCAACUGCAUCAUCCCC